GUAGGUGGCAAGCGUUGUCCGGAAUUAUUGGGCGUAAAGCGCGCGCAGGCGGUUCUUUAAGUCUGAUGUGAAAGCCCACGGCUCAACCGUGGAGGGUCAUUGGAAACUGGAGAACUUGAGUACAGAAGAGGAAAGCGGAAUUCCACGUGUAGCGGUGAAAUGCGUAGAGAUGUGGAGGAACACCAGUGGCGAAGGCGGCUUUCUGGUCUGUAACUGACGCCGAGGCGCGAAAGCGUGGGGAGCAAACAGGAUUAGAUGCCCUGGUAGUCCACGCCGUAAACGAUGAGUGCUAAGUGUUAGGGGGUUUCCGCCCCUUAGUGCUGCAGCUAACGCAUUAAGCACUCCGCCUGGGAGUACGGCCGCAAGGCUG
rnacentral:rRNA from 1 species